AGUCGUAUGGUCUAAUGGUUAUGAUUUCUCGUUCACAUAUAUGUGUUCAAAGCCCCGAGAAGGUUCCGUGUUCGAUCCACGGUACGACUA
rnacentral:tRNA from 1 species